CCAGACUCCUACGGGAGGCAGCAGUGAGGAAUAUUGGUCAAUGGGCGGAAGCCUGAACCAGCCAAGUCGCGUGAGGGAAGAAGGCCCUGCGGGUCGCAGACCUCUUUGGACGGGGAGCAAGGCCGCCGACGUGUCGGCGGAAGGAGAGUACCCGUAGAACAAGCAUCGGCUAACUCCGUGCCAGCAGCCGCGGUAAUACGUAGGGAGCAAGCGUUAUCCGGAUUUAUUGGGUGUAAAGGGUGCGUAGACGGGUAUACAAGUUAGUAGUGAAAUCCCUCGGCUUAACUGAGGAACUGCUACUAAAACUAUAUAUCUUGAGUACUGGAGGGGAAAGCGGAAUUCCUAGUGUAGCGGUGAAAUGCGUAGAUAUUAGGAAGAACACCGGUGGCGAAGGCGGCUUUCUGGACAGAAACUGACGUUGAGGCACGAAAGUGUGGGGAGCAAACAGGAUUAGAUACCCUCGUAA
rnacentral:rRNA from 1 species